rnacentral:tRNA from 1 species
GGUGUUGUGGCUCAGUGGUAGAGUGCUUGCCUGGCAUGUGUAAGGUACUGGGUUUAAUCCUCAGCACCA